rnacentral:rRNA from 1 species
AUUGAACGCUGGCGGCAUGCCUUACACAUGCAAGUCGAACGGCAGCACGGACUUCGGUCUGGUGGCGAGUGGCGAACGGGUGAGUAAUAUAUCGGAACAUACCUUGUAGUGGGGGAUAACUAUCCGAAAGGAUAGCUAAUACCGCAUACGCUCUAAGAGGGAAAGGGGGGGAUCGCAAGACCUCAUGCUAUAAGAGUGGCCGAUAUCUGAUUAGCUAGUUGGGGAGGUAAAGGCUCACCAAGGCGACGAUCAGUAGCUGGUCUGAGAGGACGACCAGCCACACUGGAACUGAGACACGGUCCAGACUCCUACGGGAGGCAGCAGUGGGGAAUUUUGGACAAUGGGGGCAACCCUGAUCCAGCAAUGCCGCGUGAGUGAAGAAGGCCUUCGGGUUGUAAAGCUCUUUUGUCAGGGAAGAAACGGUUGUGGCUAAUAUCCAUGGCUAAUGACGGUACCUGAAGAAUAAGCACCGGCUAACUACGUGCCAGCCGCCGCAGUAA